UACGAAGGGGGCUAGCGUUGUUCGGAAUUACUGGGCGUAAAGCGUGCGUAGACGGUUGCGUAAGUCAGAUGUGAAAGCCCCGGGCUCAACCUGGGAAUUGCAUUUGAGACUGCGUAGCUAGGGUGCGGAAGAGGGAAGCGGAAUUUCCGGUGUAGCGGUGAAAUGCGUAGAUAUCGGAAGGAACACCAGUGGCGAAGGCGGCCAUCUGGACCAGUACUGACGCUGAGGCACGAAAGCGUGGGGAGCAAACAGG
rnacentral:rRNA from 1 species